UUGGUUAUUCCUUGGUAUGGUUACUAGCAAUCCACAUUAUCAUAACAAACAGUUCACAAUGAAUUGGUAGGCAAUAUUUUCUUUUAUUGCCUUGCCAAUAACCGUAUCACCCUAGUGUAUGUAGGCUAAAAUUUAAAUGUUGAGAUUGGUUUUUGUGAAUCCUAAAACCCACACUAAAAAUUUAGUAGUGUUUGUAUUUGCAAAUUAGGAAAAAUAAACUACCUGGGCAACCAUAUCUUAAAAUACAGUGAUGUAAUCAGACUUAGAUGGACGAAAAUAGAUUUACAUAUUGAUGUAAACGAGUUUAAUGGUAAACGAAACAAGACCUAGACUAAGAACAAAAAGAAGGAGAUCGAUAUGUUUAGGGUUGAAAAAGCUCGAGGUCGAUUGUAAAGUGUGUGUCAGUGUGUGUACGAUUGUGAAUAUCUCUCUCUUCUGGCCUCUCCCUCCUUUUAAAGUUUCUCAAGUUUACGUCCGAUAUCUUCUCCUUUAUUUCUUCAUCGUGAUCCCGACAAUCUCGGGGACUUGGUGGUUGCCGCGAAUAUCAGGAGUUUGUGGAGCAUCGUCUCUUUGACCAAGUCUCAUCGCUUUCAUUCGGAUUCGGUGGUCGUCGACUUCUAUGUUCGUUCAGCUCGAGCCCAACCUCGAACAUUUUAUCAUCUCUCCGGCUCGAACUCGACCUUUAGAUCUAUUUAGCUCGAGGCAUGACAUCUUGAUGGUUUCGGGAUAAAGGCCCACCAAUAAUUCCUUAAGAUCGUCCUCAUCCUCUUCCUCUAGACCGAGGUAUUGUGCUUUCGUUGGCUCUGUCUUCUCGU
rnacentral:lncRNA from 1 species